AAAAUUCUAAAGUGAUGUCAUAACUGCAAGACAAUUCAAUAGUCAUUCAUUUCAAGCAUUUAAACGCAAUUUCAGUUAUACAAAUUUAUUAAUGGGCUUCUCCUAAUCUGAAUUCAUAGGACUGAAAAUGAGAUUGUUUAUAAAUAGAAACCUACAUGAAGAAAGAAAAAUGGUUCUUUUGUAAUCUUUUGUAACUUCUCUUGAGAAUUUGGAAAAACAUCAUUUUAAUCUCAAGUUUGGGAAAUAUGAACAAAAACAAUCUCAGAUAAGUAAACCAACUUCUCAUUACAAAGCACACCCAGGAAAAGCAGGGAAAAAGUAAAGGGAUAAUAAUUUACACCAUUGCUUAAAAUGUCCAUUUUCAUUUGGUGAAACUUGCACCUAACACAACACAAGUGAGCUAAAUAUACAAGCUAGACAUUACACUUGGCUCAAAAGUUUGAAGUCAUUGACAAUGAGUUAAUAAUGUGGCAUUAAUUUAAGAUAAAUGCUACCAUAAUAAAGUUAAAGGGCAAAUUGCUAUUCACAUCAGAUCAAAAACAACAAACUUAAGAAUGGCAACCAAUUGAUAAGCACCUAAAAUUUUACCAGAUGCUUGUUUUGUGGCACCAAAUUAACUGCACUUAUCUGAUAAGGGGAUAUUGAGGCAAAGUACAAGCAACUACUAACAAACAUUGUAAGGCUUUGUAUACAUAUGCAAAGCAUUCCUUUCCCAACCUUCUUUCCUCUUUCAAUCCAUGAUGUUUAAAUGAAGUCAAAAAACAGAUUAAGAUUUAAGACUACAUAAGAUGAUGAAACAAAACCAGUUCAUACAAAUCUAUAGCACUUGAUGUUGCAACAUGUUGAGACAAACUUCCAUCAGAAAAGCUUAACUCACCGUAUGUCUUCACCCUUAGUAACA
rnacentral:misc_RNA from 1 species